rnacentral:rRNA from 1 species
CCUACGGGAGGCAGCAGUGAGGAAUAUUGGGCAAUGGGCGCAAGCCUGACCCAGCGACGCCGCGUGGGUGACGAAGGCCUUCGGGUCGUAAAACCCUUUUGUCAGGGACGAGUGAGGACGGUACCUGGCGAAUAAGUCUCGGCUAACUACGUGCCAGCAGCCGCGGUAAAACGUAGGAGGCGAGCGUUAUCCGGAUUUACUGGGCGUAAAGCGCGCGUAGGCGGGUGGGUAAGUCUGACGUGAAAGCCCCUGGCUCAACUGGGGGAGGUCGUUGGAUACUGCCCGGCUUGAGGGUGAGAGAGGAGAGUGGAAUUCCCGGUGUAGCGGUGGAAUGCGUAG